UGUAAUAUAGGGUCGAAAUUUUACAUAAUAACUCGUAUUUCGAAUUGCUGUAUAUUAAAAACAGGUUGAUUACGAGAAACCCAAUAACCCGUAUUAAAUAAAAAUUCUGUGUUUUCUUCGUCAUUUGGGUUUUCCAUUGUUUUAAUGCAAAAAAAAAUCAGGAAAUGACUGUUUAAAUAUUAUGUUUGUUCGACUUUUUUUU
rnacentral:telomerase_RNA from 1 species